AGAAAAUUUCAAGGGGAAACCAACAUUUCUUACAAUUUCUUCUAUGUAAAUAUAUAAGUUAACCCAUAUGCAAAAUUAAUAAAGAUUACUAAAGGGCAUAGCAAGUAGGCAAAGGUACCUAAUAGGUAAAAUUAAUAAAGAUUACUUCAAAAUUCAAUCUCACAAAACUCAACCAUUACCAAAAAAGGGCAUAGCAAGUAGGCAAAGGUACCUAAUAGGUAAAAUUAAUAAAGAUUACUUCAAAAUUCAAUCUCACAAAACUCAACCAUUACCAAAAAAGGGCAUAGCAAGUAGGCAAAUGUACAUAUACAAAAAUCCCAUAUGCAAUAUGAAGAAAAUACCUUCAAAUUUGUUCUUCAGUGAUAAUCGUAUACAAAAAUGCUGUACAAAACAAAUUUAGUAGUUUUAGUUUGAAUUCUCAAUUCAAAGUUACAUAAACAAAAUCAAAUCGCUUACCGGAUAGAAAAAGAUUGAGGAAGUGAGAGAAUUGGAGAAUGUUUUGAAGAGAGAUGGGGGAGGGAGAUAGCUGCUGCAACUAGUUUGUAGUUUCUACCUCCCAAACUAAUUAAGUGAUGUAAAAAAAGGUCGUUGACUUUGCGCGACACAAGUCGUUGACUUUGCGCGAUGCCACCUACGUCACGCAAAACAGCUUUGUGCGAUGCAUUUUUUGCAUGACGCUGGUGAACGUGCGUCACACAAAGCUGUUUUGCGUGAUGUAGAUGGCCUUGUGUCGUGCAAAGUCACCGAAAAAACCAGCAAAGCCAUCUUG
rnacentral:lncRNA from 1 species